GGCGAACGGGUGAGCAACACGUGAGAAACCUGCCUUUCAUUCUGGGAUAACACCGGGAAACCGGUGCUAAUACCGGAUACUCCGUCUUGGCGGCAUCGCCGAGCCGGGAAAAAAUUUUGAUGAAAGAUGGUCUCGCGGCCUAUCAGCUAGUUGGUGAGGUAAAGGCUCACCAAGGCGACGACGGGUAGCCGGCCUGAGAGGGCGACCGGCCACACUGGGACUGAGACACGGCCCAGACUCCUACGGGAGGCAGCAGUAGGGAAUAUUGGGCAAUGGGCGCAAGCCUGACCCAGCGACGCCGCGUGAGGGAUGAAGGUCUUCGGAUUGUAAACCUCUUUCAGUAGGGAAGAAGCGAAAGUGACGGUACCUAAAGAAGAAGCACCGGCUAACUAUGUGCCAGCAGCCGCGGUAAUACAUAGGGUGCAAGCGUUGUCCGGAAUUAUUGGGCGUAAAGAGCUCGUAGGUUGUUUGUCGCGUCGAUUGUGAAAAUCUGAGGCUCAACCUCAGACCUGCAGUCGAUACGGGCAAACUAGAGUGUGGUAGGGGAGACUGGAAUUCCUGGUGUAGCGGUGGAAUGCGCAGAUAUCAGGAGGAACACCAAUGGCGAAGGCAGGUCUCUGGGCCAUAACUGACACUGAGGAGCGAAAGUGCGGGGAGCGAACAGGAUU
rnacentral:rRNA from 1 species